rnacentral:tRNA from 1 species
GUGGGUAUAGCUCAGUGGUAGAGCACAUGCUUAGCAUGCAUGAGGUCCUGGGUUCAAUCCUCAGUACCUCCU